CCUAACACAUGCAAGUCGAACGGUAACAGGAAGAAGCUUGCUUCUUUGCUGACGAGUGGCGGACGGGUGAGUAAUGUCUGGGAAACUGCCUGAUGGAGGGGGAUAACUACUGGAAACGGUAGCUAAUACCGCAUAACGUCGCAAAACCAAAGAGGGGGACCUUCGGGCCUCUUGCCAUCGGAUGUGCCCAGAUGGGAUUAGCUAGUAGGUGGGGUAACGGCUCACCUAGGCGACGAUCCCUAGCUGGUCUGAGAGGAUGACCAGCCACACUGGAACUGAGACACGGUCCAGACUCCUACGGGAGGCAGCAGUGGGGAAUAUUGCACAAUGGGCGCAAGCCUGAUGCAGCCAUGCCGCGUGUAUGAAGAAGGCCUUCGGGUUGUAAAGUACUUUCAGCGGGGAGGAAGGGAGUAAAGUUAAUACCUUUGCUCAUUGACGUUACCCGCAGAAGAAGCACCGGCUAACUCCGUGCCAGCAGCCGCGGUAAUACGGAGGGUGCAAGCGUUAAUCGGAAUUACUGGGCGUAAAGCGCACGCAGGCGGUUUGUUAAGUCAGAUGUGAAAUCCCCGGGCUCAACCUGGGAACUGCAUCUGAUACUGGCAAGCUUGAGUCUCGUAGAGGGGGGU
rnacentral:rRNA from 1 species